UCCAACGAGAACUGAGCCAAAACUAGAUUCUCAAUAUUUUUUUAAAUUCAAAUUCGAACUAAACUAAAACUAAAGUAAGAUGAUAUCAGUGGCGAAGCCAGAUGUCCUGCUUGUCCUGCUUGUCGUGCUGAGCAUGACAUACAAAAUUUCAGAUAAUGAAUUUUUUACGCAUAUAAUUUUUAAAAGAUAACACCUAUUCAUGCAGCUUGAUAUAUGUUCUUAUAUUUUCUUAACUUCAGCACGUUGCCAAAAAAUUCUUAAACAGAGAAAUUCAUUAUGCAAGUUAACGUUAUUUAACUCAUUUUGAAUGAAUAUCGAGACUUUGCCUGCAUGCAGGCAAAAGCAGGAAAAAAUGGGUGGCUUGCCCGACGUUUAGUCCUGCUCAACUCAGGCGAGCAGGACAAAUGUAAAAUUCUAACGCAUUUCAUUGGCUAAAACAGCUCUCAAGAAUGCAAAAUACGCAAAAAUAUGCCCUUUACUCCUACUCGAGCUUCGAUGAUAAACCUUCGAAUAUUCUUCUGAAUUAUUCAUCUUCCGGUGGUAGAUUUAUGAAUAUGUAAAUUCAUCCGAUUCAACCAAGCGUGUGUGAAAGUGCACGAGAUGUUAUUUUGGGUCUCUUACAAAGAUCUUUUAGUUCCAGUAGAAAAUCUUUGAGAAUCUACGCAAUAUAUACAGUAAAUUGAUGUUAUGCAUUACGGACAUUCAAACAAGUACAGAGCUAGGAUGGAGUGAAACAGUGUUGUUUUCAAAUAUAUAAACAUUUCAAACAUGAAUAUUGAGGAAAUCUUUGAGAUUCUACGCAAUAUAUUAAUUUGAUGUUAUGCAUUAGUGUAUUACUGACAUUAUUUAGACCGUAUAUUCAUUAAAUAUACAUCGACUGUAUAAGAUGUUACACCACAGAUUUACGCGCAUCGCCACGGACUUUGUCAAAACUUCUAUGACUGUGAAAAUAUUGAAAUCUAAAGAGACAUUAUUGAAUACAUGCGAUCGAACAUUGGGAAUAAAUCAAAGGUCAAUGAGACUUGUUAUUGUGAAACAUGUCACACCUAGGUUAAAAUGCGGAAGCGGACAAAGCGGAUCCAUCGAACGGAUAUGCGGAUAAAAUGCGGAACGGAAGGGGAUAAAAUGUGUCUUUUAAUGAUGAGUUUUUUUCGCCUCUUUUUUUACGCUCCGAAUGCAAAUGAGUUUUAGAGUAUGCAAAAUUUGGUUGUUGGUCAUUUUUGGCAAAAAUGCGGUAAAUUUGCCAAGAUUUUCCCCUUCUUAAGGUCAUAUUGGAGCUUAGAAUUCAAUGCUCAAAUCGCAGGAAAUGGCAUUUCCGGGGUUCUAAUUUUGAAAAUUUUCGGCCGAGAGCUCCCUUUCGGCAUGCCCCCAGACCCCCCCUAGAAAGUUUCGCGCCUUCGUUGCUCGAAGCAUGACAAACAAUUUUUGGCUGGCUUCGCCACUGUGUAAGAUUCUUGUUUCAAACUAGAACUAAGCCAAAACUAAAUUUUCAACGAUUUUUUUGUUGAAAUUCAAACUCGGAACUGAACUAAAACUAAAAUGAAAUUC